GUCAAAUUCUUAAAAGUACAGUGGGACCUUGGUUUAGGAAUUUAAUGCGUUCUCCGGGAUGUUUCUUAGUGCGAAAAAUUUGUAAACCGAAACACGUUUUCCCAUAGGAAUGCAUUGAAAGCCAAUUAAUCCGUUCUGGAGGCUUGGAAACCAACCCACAAUGCAGAACACACAAUAAAAGGCAUGCAAACAAUGAAGCUC